AAAGUAGACAUGAUUUAGACAGCUGAAAAGGUGGUUAUUGUUGUGAAUACAUGCGUAUAUAUAUUUAAACAAGGGUCAUUGGUUGAAGAAGAUUGGUAAUGAUGUGAAUUUACAAGACCAUCUACAAGGAGGUCUAUUCUAUUCUCUGGAGUCAUCUCCUUCGUGAUUUUGGAAAAGCCACCAAGAUAUGACCACAGUCGUUCAAUUCCUUCACCAUCAGAGAGCCCUAAGCCAAUAGUUUUUCUUGGAUUGUACAUUACCUAUAAUCAACGAAAAUGCAAAAACUAAAGCUGCUGUACUUUGAAGGCUGCUGAUAAAAGAGUCAACAGAUUCCUGCUCAAGAAAAAAUUGUCCAGAAUGCUUAGGCUGUUCCCAAGAUUUUCCAGAUGAAUUUUUACGCACAAGUUGGAAGUCGGCAUCCAUUGAAAAAACUUUUGUGUCCAUCUAAAAUAUUUAUGAAUAGUUAAUACAUUACUCAGAGAAACCGGAACACAAAAAUUGAACACUGAGAAAAGCCAACUUCAUGUUUGGAUUGAGGUGUGGAAAGGGCUGUGACGAAACUUCUGAGACUAAGAUGACCCUCCAACAACAAACCAUAAAACCAUUUCAUCAGCUCAAAGUCAAAUGCUAUGGUAGGGUUUUUUGGAGAAGAUGGCCAGAGUUGAUGACGCACCAGUGUAACAGCCUCUGGUUCACAUCGGCAAAAAAGAAUUGUCCUCUUGUGUUGUCGGCCUUCAUUAAAGUAGUAAAUAUUGUGAGUUCAAUGCAGAACAAUGAAUGCAAAGACAGGAAAAAAUCAGUAACUGGGACUUCAUUAGUCAAAUUAUUCUAAAAGGAAUUACCUAAAGAAUCCACCACAGCCAAAGUUUUUGAAUAGAGAGAGUUGCAUUCAUGGGACUCUCGUUUCCAGGUGGGAGUCUCGCAGUCAUAUCCGAGAUAGGUCCCAUUCUGAGGGGGAAAAGAGAAAAUAUUGAAUAAUGAAUUUUUCCUAGUGAUCUGCCAAUAUAAACUGAUUGAUAAGACAACGAAGGAAAGAACUAGUACCUUCCAUCCUUCAAAGAUAUGUAAGUGAGGUCUGCCAUGUGCAGCCUGCAGGCAGCUCAAGCAGACUGGAUCUCGCAUACAAUCGAUGCACCUGAACUUUUCUGUGAGUUGUUGAUGACAUACGGAGCAGUCGUUAGUUGUUGGACAGAAAGACUCUAGUUGGGCUUUUGUAAGCAGAGGCAUGACUCUGGUCCACUCAGUUAUUCUGCUCUGCUUUGUUUCAUUGUAAUCUAUAUUAUGAAAGAUUGUUGGUUAAAUAGAUUUUCAAUAUAAAUUAAUAUGAAUUGAUCAAUUAUCGUGGUAUGCUUGAUUUGCUUGGUGAUGUCGAAUUCUAUGUCAUCUGUCUGAGAACUUCUUUAAAAGAGUAUUCGGCUGCAUCAGAUUUUCAGGACCAGUUUAGAGAUCAGCUUCAAAGAAACUAAUCAAUGUAUUUUUUUCAAUCUUCUUAUGCAGAUACAUGAUGAAAGCUAUUCAAAUACAUCAAUAUUAAUUGUGAACUUAACCAUUCUUUUGCAGAAUUUUAUCAAAUUAGUGUUAAAAAAGAAACAUUCAUGAAAGCUAGUGUAAUCAAAUUUUAUAUGCUGUUGAAUAUCAAUAAUGCUAUUCAACUGUAGAUCUUCUUAAAUAUUUUUUUACUUAAUUGGGAUUUCAUUUCAACUUUACCUCACUUUUUUUAAAUUGGUGUUUUAACUCGAUUUAAAUUAAGAAACAAUUCAAGAUUUUUUAUCAAAUUUCAUUUGUUGAUAGAUUAUGUAUGAUGAGAACUUUUGUUUGUUUUGAAAAAUUUUAUUAAAAAAAAUGUCAAAAGGAUUUGACACAGGUCCAAGAGCUUUUCCAUGGACUGCAACAUUAUUUUUCUUGAAUUUUUGUUUGACCUUGACCUCAUUAAUUGAAAGAAAUUUCUCUAAAUCAAAAGCUGACUGAAGGAAUAUUUCCUGUCAUUGGUUUGAUAUCUAAUUAAAAACCAGUGGAUAAAUGUAUACAUGUUAACUUAAGGAAUCACUGUCUAGUUAGUGUAGUAUGCCAGGGCAUCAACGAUAGUGGGAAACAUGAGAUAAUUUGCAUUAGGGGUGAAGCCUGUUGUGCAUAAAUUAUCCCAUGUUUCUCAUUACCCUUGAUGUCCCUAGCAUACUUUACUAAUUAGACAGUGAAUCCUUAUAUUUCCAUUUCAUUGUGAAAUGAAAUUGUAGAUCUAAACUUUAAAAAUGUACAGACUAAUCGAUUAAAUUACACAAGGACUCCAAUGGCAAUUUCAAUAGCCCUCGCCCACUGACGUCAAACACAAAGGCAGUUGCACAAGUUUUACAUGUAUAUUUGGCCUCCUUAGCGUCAGACACAGAGACAGAUGCACAUGAGAUCUGCAUGCAUAUAAGCCAUCUUAGCUCCCGACUUAUCGACCUGCCUAAUUAACAUUACUGCAGAAUUAUCAAGAAAUAAACUCCCCUAUAAACUUUCAAAGAGUUAUCACAGAGAAAGAAAUUAGAAAUGGAAACAUUAAGACUAUGUAUCUGUUACAAAUUUUUGUUGCAACUUUUCUUGACAACUACUCUUUGAUGAUGCUUGAAAUUUUAGUGUGCUAAGUAUUUUUAGUUCACCUGAGCCGAAGGCUCAAGUGAGCUUUUCUGAUCACAUUGUGUCCGUCGUCCGUCUGUCUGUCCGUCGUAAACUUUUCACAUUUUCGACUUCUUCUCAAGAACCACUGGGCCAAUUUUGACCAAACUUGGUACAAAGCAUCCUAAGGUGAAGGGGAAUUCAAAUUGUUAAAAGGAAGGGCCAAAUCCCUUAACAAGGGGAGAUAAUCAAGAAAAGACAAAAAUAGGGUGGGUUUAUUAAAAAAUCUUCUUCUCAAGAACCACUGGGCCAGAAAAGCUGAAACUAAUGUGGAAGCAUUCUUGGGUAGUGUAGAUUCUAAAUUGUACUAAUCAUGACCCCUGGGGGUUGGGCGAGGCCACAUUGAGGAAUCCAAGUUUUACAUAGAAAUAUAUAGGAAAAAUCUUUAAAAAUCUUCUUCUCAAGAACCACUGGGCCAGAAAAGCUCAAACUUAUGUGGAAGCAUCCUGGGGUAGUGUAUAUUCUAAAUUGUCCAAAUCAUGACCCAUGGGGGUUGGGCGGGUCCACAAUGGGGAAUGCAAGUUUUACAUAGAAAUAUAUAGGAAAAAUCUUUAAAAAUCUUCUUAUUCUCGAGAACCACAGGGCCAGAAAAGCUCAAACUUAUGUGGAAGCAUCCUGGGGUAGUGUAGAUUCUAAAUUGUAGAAAUCAUGAUCCCCGGGCGUAGGGCGGGUCCACAAUGGGGAAUCCAAGUUUUUAAUAGAAAUAUAUAGGAAAAAACUUUAAAAUCUUCUUCUCAAGAACCACUGGGCCAGAAAAGCUGAAGCUUAUGUGUAAGCAUCCUGGGGUAGUAUAGAUUCUAAAUUGUUCAAAUCAUGACCAAUGGGGGGGGGGGGGGGGGGGGGGGGGUAGGGCGGGGCCACAAUAGGGAAUCAAAGUUUUACAUAGAAAUAUAUUGAACAAUCUUUGAAAAGCUGAAACUUAUGUGGAAGCAUCCUGGGGUAGUGUAGAUUUCAAAUUGUCUAAAUUAUGAUCAGUGGGGUAGGGUGGGGUCACAAUAUGUAUUACAAGGGGGGAAUCUAGUAAAGAACAAAAUGGUCAAAGCUUCUUAGGUGAGCGAUGUGGCCCAUGGUCCUCUUGUUUUUUUAUUAUUUUUUUUUUUGCAUGACUCGUAUGGUGGGAUUAAUUUCUGAAGGAUAAAGUUCACUUACUGUUUCAAUGGUGUGUUCCCGUUUUGCAUACAUUUGAUAAUUAGGUAUAAACAAUGGGUGUUAAGUGUGUUUUGAUAGCAAUUCAAUUAUAGUCUGAUUUCUGGUUAGGAUUUACCUGGAUUUACCUGUGAAUACCUGAUUUAGCUUAAAAUAUUCUUAAGAAGUUUAAAACAAUUUUAUAAGCAUUUUAUUAAAAUUCUAUAUAUAUUCAUGAAAAAAAAUUGAUUUUAUUGAAUAUUUUGUAAAAUAAAUUAUUAAUAUUUAUUUUUUUAUGUCCAAUUUCUUAAGAAAAGGAUACUUUUCAAUCUUUUUACUUUUCAAUCAUGAUAAAAUACUAAAUGAAUUAAAGAUACAAAAAAAAAAUAGAUAAUAAAAAUUAAUUUGAAAAUAACGCCCAAGCCCAGAAGGUCUUAUAUAAUCAGAUAAUUAUAACAUAAAAUGACUAUAUUAAAUGCUUAAACUUUGUAUUUAUUCUCUUAUUUUUUCACUAUAAGUUCACCUUUAACCUAGUACUUACUUAGUAUGGUAUAGACUAUAGCAAUUAAGUGAUUAUCUCACCUGGUCCAAUUUUUCACAUUCUUUAAUUACCUGUUAUUCAAAUGUGUGAAAAAAGGGAACAAACCAUUUCAAUGUGUAUCUGACUCUAACACAUUUAUACCACAGCUGGGGGGGUGGGGGGGUGGGGGGUCAGCUUCUUAAAUCUGCCACUGUUAUGUCUGUGUAGUUUUAGUAAUAAAUUUGUGUUCAU